UACAGGGGGGGCAAGCGUUGUUCGGAAUUACUGGGCGUAAAGGGCGCGUAGGCGGCCUGCUAAGUCGGAUGUGAAAUCCCUCGGCUCAACCGAGGAACUGCAUCCGAUACUGGCGGGCUUGAAUCCGGGAGAGGGAUGUGGAAUUCCAGGUGUAGCGGUGAAAUGCGUAGAUAUCUGGAGGAACACCGGUGGCGAAGGCGGCAUCCUGGACCGGUAUUGACGCUGAGGCGCGAAAGCUAGGGGAGCAAACGGG
rnacentral:rRNA from 1 species